CCUACGGGCGGCAGCAGUGGGGGAUAUUGCACAAUGGGGGAAACCCUGAUGCAGCGACGCCGCGUGAGUGAAGAAGUAUUUCGGUAUGUAAAGCUCUAUCAGCAGGGAAGAAAAUGACAGUACCUGACCAAGAAGCCCCGGCUAACUACGUGCCAGCAGCCGCGGUACUACGUAGGGGGCAAGCGUUAUCCGGAUUUACUGGGUGUAAAGGGGGCGUAGACGGUUAGGUAAGUCUGUAGUGAAAGCCCGGGGCCCAACCCCGGGACUGCUGUGGAAACUGUCUAACUGGAGUACAGGAGAGGCAGGCGGAAUUCCUGGUGUAGCGGUGAAAUGCGUAGAUAUCAGGAGGAACACCGGCGGCGAAGGCGGCCUACUGGACUGAAACUGACAUUGAGGCUCGAAAGCGUGGGGAGCAAACAGGAUUAGAUACCCUGGUAGUC
rnacentral:rRNA from 1 species